GUGACUGUUGUUAAGUUGUCGGAUCGUACUGUCUCAACAACGGUGGUGUCGACCUGGAGUUACCUCUACGUCUUUGAAAAAAGGGUGACGUCACUUGUUGGUUGGAGAGGCGACGUCAUUGUUAGGCUUUUAGGUCAAGUAGCUGUUCUCUUCUGCUGCAUUUCUUGUCAUACUUGCGUGAGGACUCACUGCGGGACGCAUCGGGACUGCACCCUUCUUUGCUCAAUCGCCACCUGCGACACUACGUAGUGUUCUACAAACAUGGAUUUUGAACUUUGGACUUCGGUGAUCCUAUUCACAACUAUUCACACUUCUAAACUGCAGUAGACUGGGUCUUGCGCUCCUUCUAGUCAAGACCAUGUCCUCAGAAGAAGUCCAGUGGCCGACUCUCCAGAGCCCUGAAGAAUGGCUUCUGCAACAGCCCACGGAGAAGUGGGCAGAGCAGUUCGGUCGGGACGGAUAUUUGGUGGUCCAUAAUCUGAUCGGUAUGGAAGAGGUCAAAGUGUACAGAGACGUGUACCGCCGGAUGGUGCAGGGAGAAAUUGACACGAGCAUACAUCGGCACGAUCUGGGGAACCAAG